UACGUAGGGGGCAAGCGUUGUCCGGAUUUACUGGGCGUAAAGAGCGCGCAGGCGGUCGAAUAAGUCGAAUGUGAAAGCCCCGGGCUUAACUGGGGAGGGUCAUUCGAUACUGCUCGACUUGAAGGCAGGAGAGGGUAGUGGAAUUCCAGGUGUAGCGGUGAAAUGCGUAGAUAUCGGGAGGAACACCGGUGGCGAAGGCGGCAUCCUGGACCGGUAUUGACGCUGAGGCGCGAAAGCUAGGGGAGCAAACGGG
rnacentral:rRNA from 1 species